rnacentral:tRNA from 1 species
CGGAUGUAGUUUAAUGGUAGAACCCAAGCCUUCCAAGCUUGCUACGUGAGUUCGAUUCUCAUCAUCCG